AAAAAAUCAAAUCAGAACUACGACAAAGGCAUAACUUCCACUGGAACAAGCUGAUACUGUUGGAUGAGAACAGUCCCACCAUGCUAUUAAACAGGGGGAGAUUUACAGUGAUAAUUAAUGUGGAAUCAAUCGAUUAUCUUGCGUAUCUGCCCCCGGCCAAAUUUAAAAAGAUGCGUGCAUGCUCCUAAAAGUAAUUCACACCAGACACAGGUUUCGGGUUAAUGAAAAAAAAUUGAGGAAUGUUUAUUCUGGGGGCGGCAUGCCCCUUAUAAAGCAAAAUUACAUCAUAUGCACUGUCAGAGAUAACAUGGAAUAAUACAUCAAUAAUUGGUUAGGUGUUAAGUGGUUCAUUUAUUGCUCUUCCUACCGGGUGUGAUGUCACUGGUAUCUUGGAGAUUGCAGCGCC